rnacentral:rRNA from 14 species
CACAGGUGCUGCAUGGCUGUCGUCAGCUCGUGUCGUGAGAUGUUCGGUUAAGUCCGGCAACGAGCGCAACCCACAUCUUCAGUUGCCAGCAGUUCGGCUGGGCACUCUGGAGAAACUGCCCGUGAUAAGCGGGAGGAAGGUGUGGAUGACGUCAAGUCCUCAUGGCCCUUACGGGAUGGGCUACACACGUGCUACAAUGGCGGUGACAGUGGGACGCGAGACCGCGAGGUUGAGCAAAUCCCCAAAAGCCGUCUCAGUUCGGAUUGCACUCUGCAACUCGGGUGCAUGAAGGCGGAAUCGCUAGUAAUCGUGGAUCAGCACGCCACGGUGAAUACGUUCCCGGGCCUUGUACACACCGCCCGUCACACCAUGGGAGUUGGCUGCACCAGAAGCCG